ensembl:snoRNA
GAUCAAUUAUGAAAAUAGCCAAAUCUGAGCAUCUGAAGACCUCCUGGUCUACCUGAUGCAUGAUCUCCAUAGUUCUGAGA